rnacentral:lncRNA from 1 species
CGGCACUUCCGGGUUGGCCUUCUCCAUGUUGGUCUCGGGAACGUGAAGGGGCGGGGCCUCGAGGUCAGGGGUCAGCGCCUCCCUGGUUGCCGUGGCGACUGGAGCACGCGACGCGGGCGCGAUGGCGGGGACUCUAGGCCCGGGACUUGAUGCUGCUUGGGCCUGGCCCAGUGGCGGGUCCUGGGGACGUGGCAGAGGCCGGCAGAUGGAGAUUCAGAAACAUAAGGACAACAAGAAACUUUCCCAAGAAAAUGAAGGAGGUUUUUCAAAGAACCCUAUUCCAAGUAUGAAGUGUGUGGCAUGAAUUUCUAAGGUAGGUUUUGCCCAGAUCACCUUUAUAAUUUCGAUGGUCUUUGUUUUCCUUUCUGUCUACACUUGGACAUUGGGGGAAAAAAUGGAGCAAGCUAGCUUUGUAAAAGUGAAGUCUUCUGAAUUAGGCACCUCAGGAAUCAAGGGCUUGUAAUGCUUUCUGAAACAAGAUUUGCUGCAAAAUUCCUUGUGUAGAGACACUGAACACUAUUGAG